GGAAGAAAAGACCAUCACAACUAGAAUUGUAAAGCAUAUUAUUAAUGUGGAAUUGGAGAAUGUUUUUAAAAGGAUUCAUGCNCAUUAAAUCAUGAGACCGUGAAAAGGCGUCUCUUGACAUUUCUGGAGGCCAACCUCCUAUACUAUUCUUAAACUUUCAUAAACUGUUUCAUUAUAAUCCCUAUUUUUUAACAGAGGAAUAAACCUUUUGGACAUGCAAAAGUGUCCAUAGAGAUAAUGCAGUGAAUAUGGUAUAUAAACACACUUGUCAUAUUCUCUCGCUCUAAUGACUAUCUGUCUUUAGCUGUUCUAGAUUCAGGUCUGUCUUCAGCUGCUUUAGUAGGAAUUGUUGUUGGUGUUAUUGCUGUUCUGCUGCUGCUGACUGUUGUAGCUGCUGCUGCUGUGCUUCACUAUCGCCGCAGGAGCUCCAGAAAUAAUCUGAUGUCAUUGACCAGAAGAACAGCAGCAGCUGCAGCAGCCACGCCCAUCAGAGCAGUGACGACCAAUCGCAUCACAGCUUCAACUGUAUCACAACAACUGACGUGAACCUCUGAAAAAAUAAAAACAAAUGAAACCAAUGGUAAAUUGAAAUGAGAUUUUUUUAAAGCUGAUUUUAGUCUCUGACAUAAACUCGAACAUAUCUAAUUUUCUUCUCAACAGAAGAAAAAAAAAAUCCAGACCGUUUAGAAAGACGUGUACAUGAUGACAGAAGAUCAUUCAUCAUUUCUUGCAUCUUAAGUUAUCAGUCUUGGUAAAAUCAACAAAUUAAUUCAGCAAAUGCAUCAGUGCUGCUGUACCUGAACAUGUGUGACAGAGUUGAGUGAUGUCCAGAUGUGUGGUCUGGUUGCUGAUGGGAUUGUUGAGCACACAGCUGUAGCUGUUUUUAUCCUGAUAUUCCACCUCCAGAGGUAGAGAGAGACUGAUGCUGAGAUCAGACACACUGAUGCUGGACAAUAAACUGUUUCCUUUGUACCAGGAGAGAGUCACAUGACCCACAUUCACCACUGAACACACCAAUAAACAAUAUGAUGAUGAUGAUGAUGAUGAUGAUGAUGAUGAAGAAGAACAAUCUCUGGUAAUGUUAGGAACAGGCAGACGAGCUGAAAUCAUGAGACAAUAAACACAUCUGGACCAAACUGAUCAACAAUGUUGAGUGUGUUCACAAUGAGUCUGUGUCAUCUUUAACUAUCCGCUAUCAUUAUGUCAAACAUCAAAAAACAAAUAUUUGAACGCCAAACGACCUUUUCUCACCAUCGCCAGAAACACUGAAUCUUCUUGAUGGCAGUUUCACUCUCUGUAUCUGUAGUUUAUAAUCUCCAGCGUGUUGAGUUGUGAUAUUUGUGAUGGUCAGAGAUAAAGUUUGUUUGUCCAGCUUCAGUCUGUCUCUGAAUCUCUCAUCAGGACCAUUAAAUGUGGAGAAGAUUCCAGAAUCUCUUAUGAUUUCAGCUAACAGAUAUUUUUUAGCUCCAAAUUUCCACAGUAUAUAAUCAUCUUCACGUAUUUGAGUAUCAUCUAUGUUCAGAGUGACAGAAUCUCCCUCCAUCACUGACACUGACUCACUAAACACACCUGAUGAAGAAACAGAUUUAACACAGAUUAAGAUUUCUCUUGUUUGUAAAUCCUGAAAUCAGCUGUAGUUUGUGACCUUUAGAUAAGAAUUGUUUGGGCUGUCACCACUAGAGGCAGUAAGUGCACAGUGAGGGGUUUUCAGAACAUACAUUCACUCAUGUACAGAAGAAAGGAGGCAGGGGCGGAGCUGGUGGCACCUGCAGCCAAAAGCAUUGCUGCCCCAUCUGCCCCCAAAGAUUUAACUUCUGUUUUAUACAUGUAAGCAGUGUUUCCUGUACCGCUUUUAAG
ensembl:lncRNA